rnacentral:misc_RNA from 1 species
GAUGAAGAACGUAGCGAAAUGCGAUAAGUAGUGUGAAUUGCAGAAUUCAGUGAAUCAUCGAAUCUUUGAACGCACAUUGUGCCCUUUGGUAUUCCUUAGGGCAUGCCUGUUCGAGCGUCAUUUAAACCUUCAAGCUAAGCUUGGUGUUGGGUGACUGUCCGCUUCACUGCGGACUCGCCUCAAAAUUAUUGGCGGCCGGUACAUUGGCUUCGAGCGCAGCAGAAACGCGAACUCGGGCCCGUCGUAUUGGCUCCCAGAAGCUAUCUUCACAAUUUUGACCUCGGAUCAGGUAGGGAUACCCGCUGAACUUAAGCAUAUCAAUAAGCGGAGGA